GUUAACUUCUUAGAAAUUGAACGGCAGUGGUGUUCUUAGAUUAUGAAGCUUUGCUUGGUGGAAAGGUAAUUGAUAAUGUCUAAUGCGUAAUGGUCAUAAAUAUCGAUGUUGAUGUAGUCAUGUCCAUGCUUUAAUGUUCUUGGUUCUUACUGGUUUGAAUUUUCUCUAUCUAUUCCUAUCCCAAUUUUUCCAUUUUCAUUUGUUUACGUUCCUUGUUCUUUCAGAAUUUUUCUUAAGCUGUAUGAUUUAAUAUGUUUUUU
rnacentral:misc_RNA from 1 species